rnacentral:lncRNA from 9 species
UUGAAGCAAAGGAGGACUUCCUGAGGGCAGACAGGACUGGGAGGUCCACCCCACGAUGGUAGCAGAUUUCACUUGGUUCUCAGCACCCCCUGGGGUCUUGGGCGGGUAGCAGGGCCUUUGGAGACUCAAGAGGCUCCUCCCCAGAACAGCCCGACUCAGAAAGACCGUCUGAGAUCUUUUCCCAAGUCGGCCAGGCUUGUUGCAGCUUUUCUGGGCUGCAGGGGGUCCUGCCUGGAGCUGGCAGUCCUAUGCAGCUGGUCCACUAGGUCUCAGCACCCCCUGGGGUCUUGGGCGGGUAGCAGGGCCCUUGGAGACUCAAGAGGCUCCUCCCCAGGACAGCCUGACUCAGAAAGACCGUCUGAGAUCUUUUCCCAAGUCGGCCAGGCUUGUUGCAGCUUUUCUGGGCUGCAGGGCGUCCUGCCUGGAGCUGGCAGUCCUAUGCAGCUGGUCCACUAGGUCUCAGCACCCCUUGGGGUCUUGGGCGGGUAGCAGGGCCCUUGGAGGCUCAAGAGGCUCCUCCCCAGGGCAGCCCGAUUCAGAACGACCGUUUGAGAUCUUUUCUCGAUUCGGCCAGGCUUGUUGCAGGUUUUCUGGGCUGCAGGGGGUCCUGCCUGGAGCUGGCAGUCCUAUGCAGCUGGUCCACUAGGUCUCAGCACCCCCUGGGGUCUUGGGCGGGUAGCAGGGCCCUUGGAGGCUCAAGAGGCUCCUCCCCAGGACAGCCCGACUCAGAAAGACCGUCUGAGAUCUUUUCCCGAUUCGGCCAGGCUUGUUGCAGCUUUUCUGGGCUGCAGGGGGUCCUGCCUGGAGCUGGCAGUCCUAUGCAGCUGGUCCACUAGGUCUCAGCACCCCCUGGGGUCUUGGGCGGGUAGCAGGGCCCUUGGAGACUCAAGAGGCUCCUCCCCAGGACAGCCUGACUCAGAAAGACCGUCUGAGAUCUUUUCCCAAGUCGGCCAGGCUUGUUGCAGCUUUUCUGGGCUGCAGGGGGUCCUGCCUGGAGCUGGCAGUCCUAUGCAGCUGGUCCACUAGGUCUCAGCACCCCUUGGGGUCUUGGGCGGGUAGCAGGGCCCUUGGAGGCUCAAGAGGCUCCUCCCCAGGGCAGCCCGAUUCAGAACGACCGUUUGAGAUCUUUUCUCGAUUCGGCCAGGCUUGUUGCAGGUUUUCUGGGCUGCAGGGGGUCCUGCCUGGAGCUGGCAGUCCUAUGCAGCUGGUCCACUAGGUCUCAGCACCCCCUGGGGUCUUGGGCGGGUAGCAGGGCCCUUGGAGGCUCAAGAGGCUCCUCCCCAGGACAGCCUGACUCAGAAAGACCGUCUGAGAUCUUUUCCCAAGUCGGCCAGGCUUGUUGCAGCUUUUCUGGGCUGCAGGGGGUCCUGCCUGGAGCUGGCAGUCCUAUGCAGCUGGUCCACUAGG